GGCAAUAUCUUUCAGAAAAUCUUUGGGCAACAUGGAGGUCAGAGCAUAUUUGAGGCACAGCUAAAGAGCCACUGACAAAGGCCACUGAUGCUGACCCGUUACCCAGAACUCACCUACCCCCAGGAGCCAGAUGACCACCCAGCAGCGGAGUAUGGUGCCCAUGGCUGAGUUGGGCAUGAGGGGAGUCCCUGGGCAGUGAAAAGAAGGGUGCUUCCUGCAGCUGCUCAGGGAGCUAGACCUCACAGCUGCCUCCUAUGAGGAAUUUGAGAAGCCCAGAAGCAUGCCCAACACAAUCAUUGAAGGGACAAGUUACCGUCUUGCUCUCUGCUGGUAGCAGCCAGAGAUGCCUCAGUCAACCUGGUUCUUCCUUCUGAGGCAAGAAGAUGAGGAAGGGAUCUUUUCAAGUGUCUUCCUGGAGUUUGGGAAGAGGAAGAAGCCGGCCAUCAAGUUUGAGCCCCGGAGAGGACUGACUCAGCCUCCCUGUGCCAGCACCACCGAGGCACAGAGAUACAGAGCUGAGCCUCCCAGCUCUGUGGCCUGGACCUUCAGGGUGUGCAAUAGCUUCCAUUUUGUCUUUCAAUUGAGAAUCAUUCCUUGGGCAUCCCAGUGUUUUGCUAUUGGGAGGAAAUCAGACAUUUCAUUUCCUGCCUGAGAUUUUGUCGAUACCAGUAAACAAA